CUGCUCCACUCCAGCUACCAACCACCUGUCCUGAGUGGAUGAUCUGAGAGGGCAGCAGUGUGCAUCUUUAACAUAUCACAGUCUACAUUCAAGUGAUAUUAUUCCACUUCACAUGUGAUAUAAGAAGCUUACUUCUAUCAACAAUACAUCAAAGAGAAUAGUUUUUAUGUAUUAUUGCCUCUAGGUCUAUCUUGGUUAAAAAGUUCUUUUCAAACCCAAGCUUAUACAUGUAUUCUCUUAAAACUGUUCUAUAGUUUUUGUUUACAUACAGAUUUUAAGUUUUUUUGGAAAUUGAUUUUUGUAUAUGGUGUGAAACAGGGGUCUAACUUUAUUUUCCUCCAGGCCAGUUGUGUCCUAACCAAUAUAAAAUAAACCAUUGUUUUCCCAUUGACUUCAAAUAGCACUUUUGGCAUACAGUCAGAUGUUGCUUAACAGUGAGGAUAUGUUCUGAGAAAUGCAUCAUUAGGUGGUUUUGUCAUUGUGCAAACAUCACAGAGUGUACUUACACAAACCUAAAUUGUAUAGCCUACCACACACCUAGGGCAUGG
rnacentral:lncRNA from 10 species